rnacentral:rRNA from 1 species
AUGCCCUACGACGGGAGUGCAACGACCUCGUUCCCAUCAGCGCCGCCGCCAUCCCAGGGCGUCCACAUCCAGCAGAUCAAGUCCCUACCAUCGCCGUCACCGCUUCCGUCUUGGAUCACUACCCGCCACGUGUCGGCGGCGGUGAGGCUGCAGGCUGCUGCGCGCGGCCUCCUAGUGCGUCGGUGUGUGCGGGAGAUGCGUGGUCUGCAGCUGCCGCUCCUCCAAGUUGCCCUUCGCUGCACAAAGGACCUCGAUCUGGUCCGCUGCGUCGGGAAUUUUGGGCAUGCGGUUUCCCCCACAAGCGGCGGGCAUGCUGUUUUCCCCGUGGGCAGUGACCUCAAAGUCUGCGACAUCGGCGGUUGGGGGGACGCACCUCUCCUCGACACUCUCCAUCGCAAGCCCUCCACUCCUCCAUGUGCAAUGCAGACCAACAGCCAUACACAUGCACUCCUUUUAUCCAGGUGGUGUCCAUGGGAUCCAGGUGGUUGUACACGUACACGUCCAAAAUAA